CAGCCGCCGCGGUAAUACGUAGGUCCCGAGCGUUGUCCGGAUUUAUUGGGCGUAAAGCGAGCGCAGGCGGUUAGAUAAGUCUGAAGUUAAAGGCUGUGGCUUAACCAUAGUACGCUUUGGAAACUGUUUAACUUGAGUGCAAGAGGGGAGAGUGGAAUUCCAUGUGUAGCGGUGAAAUGCGUAGAUAUAUGGAGGAACACCGGUGGCGAAAGCGGCUCUCUGGCUUGUAACUGACGCUGAGGCUCGAAAGCGUGGAGAGCAAACAGGAUUAGAUACCCGGGUAGUCCCUGUCUCUUAUACA
rnacentral:rRNA from 1 species